AGAGUUUGAUCCUGGCUCAGGACGACCGCUGGAGGCGUGCUUAACACAUGCAAGUCGAACGGAGAUUGAGAGUAGCUUGCUACUCGAAAAUCUUAGUGGCGGACGGGUGAGUAACGCGUGGGCAAUCUGCCCGUAAGUGGGGGACAACACUGUGAAAACGGUGCUAAUACCGCAUAACAUCAUUGGAGUGCAUACUCUGAUGAUCAAAGGAAAAAUCCGCUUAUGGAUGAGCCCGCGUCUGAUUAGCUAGUUGGUAGGGUAACGGCCUACCAAGGCGACGAUCAGUAGCCGGCCUGAGAGGGUGAACGGCCACACUGGAACUGAGACACGGUCCAGACUCCUACGGGAGGCAGCAGUGGGGAAUCUUCCGCAAUGGGCGAAAGCCUGACGGAGCAACGCCGCGUGAGUGAUGAAGGCCUUCGGGUUGUAAAACUCUGUCUUCAGGGAAGAAACAAAUGACGGUACCUGAGGAGGAAGCCACGGCUAACUACGUGCCAGCAGCCGCGGUAAUACGUAGGUGGCAAGCGUUGUCCGGAAUUACUGGGCGUAAAGAGCGCGUAGGCGGGAAUUUAAGUCAGGAGUGAAAACUGUGGGCUCAACCUACAGCCUGCUCUUGAAACUGGAUUUCUUGAGGGUAUGAGAGGAAAGCGGAAUUCCUAGUGUAGCGGUGAAAUGCGUAGAUAUUAGGAGGAACACCAGUGGCGAAGGCGGAUUUCUGGCAUACAACUGACGCUGAGGCGCGAAAGCGUGGGGAGCAAACGGGAUUAGAUACCCCGGUAGUCCACGCCGUAAACGAUGGAUACUAGGUGUAGGAGGUAUCGACCCCUUCUGUGCCGUAGUUAACACAAUAAGUAUCCCGCCUGGGGAGUACGGCCGCAAGGUUGAAACUCAAAGGAAUUGACGG
rnacentral:rRNA from 1 species